UAUGACCUCAAACAGGUAGAC
rnacentral:rRNA from 1 species